UACGGGGGGGGCAAGCGUUGUCCGGAUUUAUUGGGCGUAAAGAGCGUGUAGGCGGCUAGGUAGGUCCGUUGUGAAAACUCGAGGCUCAACCUCGAGACGUCGAUGGAAACCAUCUAGCUAGAGUCCGGAAGAGGAGAGUGGAAUUCCUGGUGUAGCGGUGAAAUGCGCAGAUAUCAGGAAGAACACCCGUGGCGAAGGCGGCUCUCUGGUACGUGACUGACGCUGAGACGCGAAAGCGUGGGGAGCGAACAGG
rnacentral:rRNA from 1 species